rnacentral:lncRNA from 1 species
AGCUGGUGGAGUAGCAGUAGAAAUGGAGAAGAGAGGAUGUGUUCAAGGCCUUUUCUGAGAUAAAGUCAACAGAUCUUAAUCAACUGGAGGUGAUCAGUGGUGGCAUUGACUUCAAGAUUGGGUCCAAGUGGAACUUUGAAACCAUUUUCCUUGAACUAGAAAGGGAAUUAGCUGAGGAGCCCGACCCAACAAAGGUUUGGGGGCGACUGGGCCCCAAGGGCCGAGAGACAGGGGUGAGUUCCGGCAGAGGCUUUAGACGGGAAAGCAGGAGGGCCAGAGGGCGGGAAAAUCACGGAGCAUGCGCACAGCACGGCUUAAGCCUGCACAGCCCUUCUCGGUGGGCGGAGUCUGUGGUAAGAUGGCUUGAAGGACUUCCUUGGUUGAGCUCCAGGGGUGAGUGGGCUUCUGGUGUCCUACGCCAGGCCCCCAGGCCUCCUGUGGCUCACCCCACGCCGAUUCCACCCGCCAGGGCCAGGGACACAUUCGCUGAGGCGCCUGCCCCGACCGCCACCAGGAGAGUGGAAGGCUGGGCCUGGUUUGACGCUUUCGCGCCCGACCUUGACCUAAGCCGAGCCUGGCGUGGCGCCCUCUUGCCCAGUGUGGGCAGAAAGGAGCGCUGGAAGUGCCUUCCUUGAGGGUCAGGUCGCGCUCUGAAGAGGUCGGCAGUGACCCAGGUUUGCCCUCCAAUCAGUGGUCUGCCUUCAUUUUCCAGAUUGAUGAAGUCUGCCUCAGAGAAGGGAGCAGUUUAUUUAAUUUCAGGAGGACCUGGGGACCUCCUGUUCUGCCAUCUUGCUUCAUCACCAACACCCUUUUUCGAUCAACAUUUUGAGUAUGCUUUCCAGCUAUGUUUGGCCUCCAUGGUUUACGCCUCCUGGUACAUAGUUGUAUAUUUCAGUUGUGGGUCCUUCUAGUUGUCGCAUGUGGGACGCUGCCUCAACUUGGCCUGACGAGUGGUGCCAUGUCUGCGCCCAGGAUCUGAAUCGGCGAAACCCUGGACUGCUGCAGAGGAGUGCACGAACUUAAUUCUUCUGCCACAGGGCUGGGCCCUGAGUUAAUUUGUAUAUAGUGUAAGGUGCAAAGUUAGCCCUUUAUAGGUCUAAAUUUCCCUCUGAGCACUGCCUUCCCUGCAACCUUACACAGUUGUACAUUCUUCGCUGUGGGUCCCUCCAGCCGUGGCAUGUGGGACGCCGCCUCAGCAUGGUCCGAUGAGCAGUGCCAUGCCCGUGCCCAGGACCUGAACCAACGAAACACUAGGCCGCCUGCAGCGGAGCGUGCAAACUCAACCACUUGGCCACGGGGCCAGCCCCAGGAUACAGAAUUCUUGGUUGACAGUUUUUUACUUUCAGGACUUUAAAUAUGCCAGCCCACUGACUCAAGGUUUCCAUGGUUUCUGAUGAGAAAUCUGCUGUUAACCUUAUUAAUGAUCCUUGUGUGGAAUGAAUCAGUGAACUUGAAUCUGUAAAUUCAUCUUUCAUCAAAUUUGGGAUCUUUUUAGCCAUUAUUUUGUCAGUUAAAAAUUUUUUAAAAAAUAUACCAUUCUUUCAUCUCCUUGUGGGCCAUCCAUUUUAUGUUUGUUAAACUGACUGGUAUUGUGUUUCAGGGCUGUGAUGUUUAUUUUUCAAAAAAUCUUUUUUUCCUCUGUAUAUUUCAUUUUGGGUGACUUCUGUUGCUGUGUUUCAAGAUCAUUGAUCUUUUCUUCUGCAUUGUCUAGUUUGCAGUAAAUCCUAUCUGGUGUUUAUGGAUUUGAUAUUUUUUGUAGUUCCAUUGGAGUGCUUUUUUAUAACUCCUGUUUCUCUCCUCAUCUUGUUCAUGUUUCCCUUUAUAUCUUUGAUUAUAUUUAUAAGACUUUUUAUAUUCCUUAUAAGGUCCUUGUCUGCUAAUUUCAUC